rnacentral:rRNA from 1 species
UGAGGAAUUUUGCGCAAUGGGGGAAACCCUGACGCAGCAACGCCGCGUGAGGGAAGAAGGCUUUCGGGUCGUAAAGCUCUGUCAAGAGGGAAGAAAGUGGGAGAUGGUAAUACUGUUUUCUAUUGACGGUACCUCUGAAGGAAGCACCGGCUAACUCCGUGCCAGCAGCCGCGGUAAUACGGGGGGUGCAAGCGUUAUUCGGAUUUAUUGGGUGUAAAGGGCAGGUAGGUGUUCUAUCAAGUUAGAAGUGAAAUCCUAAGGCUUAACCUUAGAACUGCUUCUAAAACUGAUGGAAUUGAGGACAGAAGAGGAAAGCGGAAUUCCCGGUGUAAGGGUGAAAUCUGUAGAGAUCGGGAGGAACACCAGUGGCGAAGGCGGCUUUCUGGUCUGUCCCUGACGCUAAACUGCGAAAGCUAGGGGAGCAAACAGG